rnacentral:rRNA from 1 species
AGAAUCAACGCUGGCGGCGUGCCUCAGACAUGCAAGUCGAACGCGAAAGUCUCCUUCGGGGGACAAGUAGAGUGGCGCACGGGUGAGUAACACGUAGGUAAUCUACCUUUGGAUGGGGAAUAACAAUCGGAAACGAUUGCUAAUACCGCAUAAUGCAGCGGCACCUAAUGGUGACAGUUGUUAAAGCGGGGGAUCGAAAGACCUCGCGUCUGAAGAGGAGCCUGCGGCGGAUUAGCUAGUUGGUAAGGUAAUGGCUUACCAAGGCUACGAUCC